CAGGAUCUCUUUCAAAAGUUAAAGUCAUAGCACACAAAUGUAAUUCUAAAUGUUUAGUGUUAGACCAUUCGGAUCAUAUUUUGUAAAAUUUCUGUGAGCCGUAUGAAACAUGGUGUCAUAACCUUUCUGUGAAUUUAAAGCAAAUCUGAAGGAUGUUAUACAAUAAAAUGGACACACAUCUGUUUGCUGUGCAGCUGUCAAAGCUCCGGCCACUUUGAUUGGUGCUGCUGCAGGGGCUGCUGGGAUAAUUCUCACCUGCAUCCUACUGACAGUUAUUCUCAAGAAAAGCUGCACCAGACAGAAUCAUGGCAGUGAGACACAGGAAACAAGAGAAUUAACACUGACAAACCAGCUGAACACACCUGAACCAAAGGAGGAAGCAACAUAUGAGAACAUCUGCCAUCAGCUGGGCACCAAAGGUCCAGACAAGAUGUAGCAAUGAGGAGGACAGUGGUGCUUAUGAUGUUCAGCAAGAUGAUCUUGCCAUUUUUAAUCCACUGAUUUCAUAAGAAAAGGGAGCCAUGCAGUGAUGAAGCAGGUUAAGAAUCUGAAAAGAAAAAUGGCUUAGACUGUAACUUCGAAUUGGACACGAUACUAUAGAAACAUUUUAACAAUGUCUCAUUUGUUGCUAAUGUCAGAAAUAAAAGUGAAAAGUUCCUUUAAUUUUUGCUUCAGUUGGGAUGUAAACAGAUCCAUGUGAUACAGAGAUGGGAUGACUGAAGAGGGACUGGUUUAAGGUUUGUGGUUUAAUGAACUAGCAGAAGCCCCAUAAUGAACUUUUCCGCACUAUUGGAAAUUGCUAUCGGAAAUUUUGAUUUUUUCACCCUUUCCUAGUGUCCAUGCCGAGUUUGAUGCCUGCAUCACUAAGUGCUUAGUUAUCCUUAAAUGCUGAUUUAAUCUGCUGAGCUUGCAGUUCAUGUUAUAGAUCUUCUUGAAAAAAAUUAAUAUGAAAACUUGUAUUAAAUUAGUGGGACCUUGCAAACACUUAUAGCUCUACCACAAAAACCUUUUCAGUCAUGCUUUUUUUCUUUUUCUUUUUUUACAUGGAAUCAUGAGCUUAAAACCGAGCUUUGCAUCAAGCCACAGACUUUGUGUAUCAUUACUCCCCUAUUCCCAUUCCAUUUUUAACAGAAUAUCAAAAUCAUUUGUGUGCCAUAAAGACUUGUGCAGUGGGACAGAUAUGGCCUAUAGGCCUUCAGCUUGACAUUUGUGGUGUAGGUGUUGUGAUCGAGCAAGCGA